CAGCCGCCGCGGUAAUACCGGCGGCCCGAGUGGCGGCCACUAUUAUUGGGCUUAAAGCGUCCGUAGCCGGGUUGGUUAGUCUCCCGGGAAAUCUGGCCGCUUAACGGUCAGAAUUCCGGGAGAUACUGCCAGCCUAGGGACCGGGAGAGGCCGAGGGUAUUCCCGGAGUAGGGGUGAAAUCCUAUAAUCCCGGGAGGACCACCUGUGGCGAAGGCGCUCGGCUGGAACGGGUCCGACGGUGAGGGACGAAGGCCAGGGGAGCGAACCGGAUUAGAUACCCGGGUAGUCCUGGCUGUAAACGAUGCGGACUUUGUGUCGGACAAGCUAUGAGCUUGUCCGGUGCCGGAGGGAAACCGUUAAGUCCGCCGCCUGGGGAGUACGGCCGCAAGGCUGAAACUUAAAGGAAUUGGCGGG
rnacentral:rRNA from 1 species